rnacentral:rRNA from 1 species
AGGACGAACGCUGGCGGCGUGCCUAACACAUGCAAGUCGAACGGGGUGUUCCUUCGGGAACACUUAGUGGCGAACGGGUGAGUAACGCGUGAGAAACCUGCCUUUCAGUGGGGGACAACAGUUGGAAACGACUGCUAAUACCGCAUAAGACCACAGAGCCGCAUGGUUCAGGGGUCAAAGAUUUAUCGGUAUGAGGUGGGCUCGCGUCUGAUUAGAUAGUUGGUGAGGUAACGGCUCACCAAGUCGACGAUCAGUAGCCGACCUGAGAGGGUGACCGGCCACAUUGGGACUGAGACACGGCCCAAACUCCUACGGGAGGCAGCAGUGGGGAAUAUUGCACAAUGGGCGAAAGCCUGAUGCAGCGACGCCGCGUGAGUGAAGAAGUAUUUCGGUAUGUAAAGCUCUAUCAGCAGGGAAGAUAAUGACAGUACCUGACUAAGAAGCCCCGGCUAACUACGUG